CAGAGCAAGGAAUUCUGGGUAAAAACAAAUAGUCAAAACAAAUACUGUAUAAUAAAUAAUCAGCUGACUGUAGAGUCUCAACUCACACUGCUGUUAAAAAAGAAAAGGUAGAAAAUGGAGGAGAGAAAAACGCAGGAUGCGAUUGGGUGGCAUUGUAAUGGUGGAGCGAGGGAUGAGACAGGAAGAGGACGAGUGUUAAGACACUGUCCAUAAUCUCAUCGCAUCCUGCUUGUUCUUUCCAGUGUCCCUCUGAAAGGGCACAUAAUGACUAAGCAUAGUGCGCUAACUCCACAGAUGCUAGCGGCUAAACCAUGACUCAUAUUAGCCACAGCUAUAGCUAAUAUCGAUGCUAAAGCUAACAUUCCACACAGCUAACGCUUUUGGAUUAAACUACCUCAAAUAUAUGGGCAAAAACUCCCAAAAAGAACCUUUUGGGCCAUUACUGUGUGUGUGUGUGUGUGUGUGUGUGUGUCUGUAUGUGUGUGUGUGUGUGUGUGUGUGUGUGUGUGUGUGUGUGUGUGUGUGUGUGUUAACUGGCUCUCUCCUCCAGAGAGGAUUACCUGCGAAGGUGAGUUGUGUUUAGCCGUAUGAGGAGGAUUGCAGUCAGUGCAGAUUUAGAGAUUAUAAUCUGACAUUUUCCCUUUCUAAUACACACACACACACACACACACACACACACACACACACAGUGAAUGUCCUUAUUUAUUAUUAUCCUGUAUUUUGUAGUUAUAUUUGUGUACACCCAUAAAAACAAAACUCAUCACAAUGUUAUAUUUUUUUCGUGGUUGCAGUGGAACGUUGUUGUAACGUGAAGUGGAAAACCUGAUAAUCUGCUCAAAAGUCACCACGAUUCUCCUGUGGAAGUGUGUAACUCCAGCAGGGAACUAUAGCUACACCCACAGGGGCAGGAUGGUCCCACACAGGUCCGCAUGUUCAUGAGUGUCAACAGCACCAACCCCCUCACUUCUGUUAAAUUAUAACACAUUGAUUUCAUAGUCUCAGUACAGUGUCUUUCUCUGUGGGCGUGUCUCUCACUCUGUAUCAGUCGUAUCACUGAGUAAAGAUAACUGUAGUCAA